UCCUGAUGACAAACAUGUAUUUAUUUGAGGGUUGCUGUAUGUAGCAUUUAGAAAGCUGUGGCUAACUUGAAGCUAACGUUUGAUUCUUGCUCUUUGAGGUUUGAUAUUCAUGAUUAAAUGCACUUAAUGUAACUUUUAACCAAAGCUUUAGUAACGUUUAUGGGUAAGAAGCGCUCGGUUUCUUCGUCAGUUUCAUUUAAAGCAUUUUUUUUGUAUUCCUUUAGGAUCCAGCCCUCGUGUCCGCGGCUGUGGAGGAGAGGAUACAGUAUCUUCUGGAUCCAUCUGUGGUCUCGGCUGCCAUGGAAGAAAAGAUUCAACGUCUUCUGGAUCCAGCUGUAGUGUCGGCUGCUGUCGAGGCGAAGAUGCAACGUCUCCUGG